rnacentral:rRNA from 1 species
GACGAACGCUGGCGGCGUGCUUAACACAUGCAAGUCGAGCGGUAAGGCUCCUUCGGGAGUACACGAGCGGCGAACGGGUGAGUAAUACGUGAGCAAUCUGCCCUUCACUUUGGGAUAACUCCGGGAAACCGGUGCUAAUACCGAAUGCGACCACUUCAGGCAUCUGACGGUGGUGGAAAGUUCCGGCGGUGAAGGAUGAGCUCGCGGCCUAUCAGCUUGUUGGUGAGGUAAUGGCUCACCAAGGCUUCGACGGGUAGCCGGCCUGAGAGGGUGAUCGGCCACACUGGAACUGAGACACGGUCCAGACUCCUACGGGAGGCAGCAGUGGGGAAUAUUGGACAAUGGGGGAAACCCUGAUCCAGCAACGCCGCGUGGAGGAUGAAGGUCUUCGGAUUGUAAACUCCUGUUAGGGGGGACGAAGGGAUGUCGGCAAACAGCCGGCAAACUUGACGGUACCCCAGAGGAAGCCCCGGCUAACUCUGUGCCAGCAGCCGCGGU